rnacentral:rRNA from 1 species
CUAGUAACGGCCGCCAGUGUGCUGGAAUUCGCCCUUCAGGCCUAACACAUGCAAGUCGAGCGGUAGCACAGAGAGCUUGCUCUCGGGUGACGAGCGGCGGACGGGUGAGUAAUGUCGGGGAAACUGCCUGAUGGAGGGGGAUAACUACUGGAAACGGUAGCUAAUACCGCAUAAUGUCGCAAGACCAAAGUGGGGGACCUUCGGGCCUCAUGCCAUCAGAUGUGCCCAGAUGGGAUUAGCUAGUAGGUGGGGUAACGGCUCACCUAGGCGACGAUCCCUAGCUGGUCUGAGAGGAUGACCAGCCACACUGGAACUGAGACACGGUCCAGACUCCUACGGGAGGCAGCAGUGGGGAAUAUUGCACAAUGGGCGCAAGCCUGAUGCAGCCAUGCCGCGUGUGUGAAGAAGGCCUUCGGGUUGUAAAGCACUUUCAGCGGGGAGGAAGGCGCUAAGGUUAAUAACCUUGGCGAUUGACGUUACCCGCAGAAGAAGCACCGGCUAACUCCGUGCCAGCAGCCGCGGUAAUACGGAGGGUGCAAGCGUUAAUCGGAAUUACUGGGCGUAAAGCGCACGCAGGCGGUCUGUCAAGUCGGAUGUGAAAUCCCCGGGCUCAACCUGGGAACUGCAUUCGAAACUGGCAGGCUAGAGUCUUGUAGAGGGGGGUAGAAUUCCAGGUGUAGCGGUGAAAUGCGUAGAGAUCUGGAGGAAUACCGGUGGCGAAGGCGGCCCCCUGGACAAAGACUGACGCUCAGGUGCGAAAGCGUGGGGAGCAAACAGGAUUAGAUACCCUGGUAGUCCACGCCGUAAACGAUGUCGAUUUGGAGGUUGUGCCCUUGAGGCGUGGCUUCCGGAGCUAACGCGUUAAAUCGACCGCCUGGGGAGUACGGCCGCAAGGUUAAAACUCAAAUGAAUUGACGGGGGCCCGCACAAGCGGUGGAGCAUGUGGUUUAAUUCGAUGCAACGCGAAGAACCUUACCUGGUCUUGACAUCCACAGAACUUUCCAGAAGAUGGAUUGGUGCCUUCGGGAACUG